rnacentral:snoRNA from 2 species
CCUCUCUUAAGAUCACACCUGGAGAGUUUCCAGUUCUCUACCAGUCUUGGCUACAGGAAGGAGAGUUAAGCAGAGGCCUACCCAUUCCAUUCCUAGCUUGGGAGUUGGCUAGCCAGUGGAAGGCAAUCUGCUGCAAGU